GGAAUAUUGGUCAAUGGGCGAGAGCCUGAACCAGCCAAGUAGCGUGCAGGAUGACGGCCCUAUGGGUUGUAAACUGCUUUUGUGCGGGAAUAAAGUCAGGGACGUGUCCCUGUUUGCAUGUACCGCAAGAAUAAGGACCGGCUAAUUCCGUGCCAGCAGCCGCGGUAAUACGGAAGGUCCGGGCGUUAUCCGGAUUUAUUGGGUUUAAAGGGAGCGUAGGCCGUCUUUUAAGCGUGUUGUGAAAUGUAGGCGCCCAACGUCCGCACUGCAGCGCGAACUGGAUGACUUGAGUACGCGGGAAGCAGGCGGAAUUCGUCGUGUAGCGGUGAAAUGCUUAGAUAUGACGAAGAACUCCGAUUGCGAAGGCAGCCUGCUGUAGCGCCACUGACGCUGAUGCUCGAAAGCGUGGGUAUCGAACA
rnacentral:rRNA from 1 species